rnacentral:rRNA from 1 species
UACGAAGGGGAGCUAGCGUUGUUCGGAUUAACUGGGCGUAAAGGGUGCGUAGGCGGGGUUUUAAGUCAGGGGUGAAAUGCCGAGGCUCAACUUCGGAACUGCCUUUGAUACUGGAACUCUUGAGUCUGGGAGAGGUGAGUGGAACUGCGAGUGUAGAGGUGAAAUUCGUAGAUAUUCGCAAGAACACCAGUGGCGAAGGCGGCUCACUGGCCCGGAACUGACGCUGAGGCACGAAAGCGUGGGGAGCAAACAGG